rnacentral:rRNA from 1 species
UACGUAGGGUGCAAGCGUUAAUCGGAAUUACUGGGCGUAAAGCGUGCGCAGGCGGUUAUGUAAGACAGGUGUGAAAUCCCAGGGCUUAACCUUGGAACUGCAUUUGUGACUGCAUAGCUAGAGUACGGUAGAGGGGGAUGGAAUUCCGCGUGUAGCAGUGAAAUGCGUAGAUAUCUGGAAGAACACCGGUGGCGAAGGCGGUCAACUGGCCCUAAACUGACGCUCAGGCACGAAAGCGUGGGGAUCAAACAGG